ACAUGUUUCUCUUUCCGGUGCUCAUGGCUCAUCCGAUUUUUCUCUCGCCUAGGUUUUCCCUCUCUGGUGCGGCGCCCCCAAAUCCUCUCCCGCCGGCGCUGAACUCAUCUCCCGCGCGGCCGCGCCGGCGCUGCUCAAAUCCCCCCUGCGUUGGCACCCUCAAACCCAUCUCUCCCGCUGCCCCCAAAUCCUCCUCGCGAGACCCCUGAAGCUCGCCUCUCUGCUGCCCCAAAUCCUCCUGCUCCUCUCCAACCCAGCACCGCGCCACCCCCACCUUCAUCUUCGUCGCCGCUCGUGCAUCCACUCCGUCUGCAUCGCCAAGCCCAUGAAAUCCCAUCUGCAUCGUGCAGCCUAGCAAUGGCUAGGUGCCCCCCAAACCCUAGCACCAUGGCUCAAGCACUAGGGCGCCGGAAAUCCUACCAGCGCUGCUGAGAACCAAGGUGGAGGAGGAGCUGUGUCCCUAGGAGCCGUGUCUGGAGAGGAGAAGGGGAGGGGUACUGCUGCUGCGCAAGGAAGGGGAAUGGUACUGCUGCUACUCAAGGAAGGGGAGGAACGGAGGUCUGUGCUCCCAAUCAAUCUGCUCCGUUUGGCCAUUCGCCCCCUCACGACCUACACGCGACCGUUCUGCUUCUACAAAAGAAAAAGGUGAAUUAUAAGGCCGGAGGAAGACAUUGGGUGCUUGAUAGUGGAUGCACUCAAUAUAUGACCGGAGAUCCAAAGAUGUUUUCCUCUCUUGAUGAUAAUGUGAUUGGCUAUAGUGAUAUUAUCUUUGGUGACAAUAACCAAGGCAAGGUCAAAGGAGUUGGUACAAUUGCUAUCUCAAGUGAUCAUUUUCUUUCAAAAGUUUUGCUAGCUGAUUCUCUCAAGUUCAAUCUCUUGUCGGUCACUCAACUUUAUGAUUUUGGUUAUAAGUGUAGUUUCACUAAAGAUGAUUUUGUAGUGACUAGUUUGGAUGGAAAUGAUCAUAUCUUCACGAAAUUUAGACAUGAGGAUGUAUAUCUUGUGGAUUUUACUACUAGAGGCAAAUUUGUCCACUUGCUUGUUCUCUCAAUAAUCUUUGGGUUGGUCAUGGCAUAGAAGACUUGGUCAUGUUGGCAUGAAAUAACUCAACCGACUCUUGAAGCAUGAUUUAGUAGUUGGCUUGAAGAAUGUGAAAUUUGAAAAAGAUAAGUUAUGUAGUGCAUGUCAAGCCGGAAAGCAAGUUGCAAAUGCUCAUCCCUCCAAGAGUGUUAUGUCAACCGAGAGACCAUUAGAAUUAUUGCAUAUGAAUUUAUUUGGUCCUACAACAUAUAGAAGCAUUGGAGGAAAUUGCUAUUGUCAUGUGGUAGUGGAUAAUUAUUCAAGAUAUACAUGUGUUUUCUUUCUACAUGACAAGGCCGAUACAUAUAAUAUAUUCAAGAAAUUCAUAACAAGGGCCGAGAAUGAAUUCGAGCACAAGGUGAAAAAAGUGAGGAGUGACAAUGGAAGUGAGUUUAGAAACACAAGAGUUGAGGAAUUGUGUGAUGAAAAGGGAAUCAAGCAUGAGUUCUCAACCAAGUCCACUCCGGAGCAAAAUGGUCUUGUUGAAAGGAAAAAUAGGACCUUGAUUGAUAUGGCUAGAUCAAUGCUCUCCAAGUAUAAUGUUUCGGAUAAUUUUUGGGCCAAAGUAAUCAACACGGCGUGUCAUGCUUCUAAUAGGCCCGACAUCAUGUUUAGUGUUUGCAUGUGUGCACGAUUUCAAGCCGCACCUAGAGAAUGUCAUUUGACCGUCGUCAAACGCAUCUUGAGAUACUUAAGUAUACUCCUAAUAUUGGUUUAUGGUAUCCCAAGGGUGCUUAUUUUGACUUGAUUGGAUUUUCGGAUUAGGAUUAUGCUGGGUGCAAGGUUGAUAGGAAAAGCACUUUCGGUGAUUGUCAAUUUCUUGAAAGGUCUUUUGUUUCUUGGUCUUCAAAGAAGCAAAAUUAUGUGGCUCUUUCAACCGCCGAAGCGGAAUAUAUUUUGGCCGGAAGUCGUUGUGCACAACUAUUAUGGAUGAACCAAACUCUUCUUGACUUUGGUGUGAAGUUUGAUGAGAUUCUCUUAAUGUGUGAUAAUGAAAGCGCCGUGAAAAUUACAACUAAUCCGGUGCAACAUUCAAGAACAAGCAUAUUGAUAUCUGUCAUCAUUUUCUUAGAGAUCAUGUGAGCAAGGGUGAUAUCAAGAUUGAUGGAAUUGGUACGGAUGAUCAAUUAGCCGAUAUAUUUACCAAGUCAGUGGAUGAAUCUCGGUUUUGCAAGUUGAGAAAUGAGCUAAAUAUCAUUAACUUCUCAAAUGUGGCUUGAAAACUAGUACAUAUGGCAUGUGGUUCUUCAAUGCAUCUCUUGUUUCAAUUUUCUAAAUUUUUUUAGGCUUUUUUUGAGCUAUUUAUGAGUUUUCUUGAUUUUACUCGAUUUAUUUUUAAUUGUUCGUUCUUACUCUCUCAUAUGAGUAUAGAUGAGCAAACGGGCCGCCCGGCCCGGCCCAGCCCGGGCCCGGGCCGGGCCCGGCUCAAUCGUGCCGGGCCAAGUUUGGCCCGUCGUGCCACCGUGCCGGGCUGCCCCGGGCUUCGUGCUUGGCCGACGGCCCAGGCCUGGCCCAUAGGCCUAUUUUCGUGCCGGGCCGGCCCAAAUGGCCCGACCAAAAUGACGUGCCGGGCCGGCCCAAAUGGCCCAUAAACAUAUGAGGAUAUCAAUUUCACAAUGUUUAAAGAAUCGUAUAAGCUAAAUAUCAUUUCUCAAAUAUCAUUAAGUUCAUAAAUAUUAAAAAAACACAUAAGUUACAUCUAUAAGUUAACUUAUUGACAAAUGACAAGUUAUAAGUUAAUAUAUAAGUAUAUAAUUUUAGUUAUAUAUAAGCUAACGUGCCUCUACGUGCCGUGCCGCCCGACGGGCCUGCCUGGCGGCCCAAGCCCGGCCCGAGACCCGUGCCGUGCCUAGCCCGGGCCCGGUGUCUUCGGGCCUGUGCCGUGCUUGGGUCGUGCGGGGUGCCCGCAGCGGCGGACCCAAGUCCCGGCAACCCUGGGCACCGGCCCGGGCUCCGAGGCAGCAGUCACUGAGUCACAAGAUGCUACCCGAUAAAUCUAUCGUUCGUCUUUUGUGCUAGAGGCCCAGAGCUAAGAAGAAAUGGGUGCCUUGUAUUGUAUUGGCCCAGGCUCCCAUCACAACCUGGGUCCGCCACUGGUCGCCCGUGCUUGGGCCGGGCUACCGGGCCUCGGGCCUUCUGCUCAUCUAUGCAUAUGAGUCUUUGGAAGGUAUCCAUGCUAGUUUUGAGAUUUUUGGAAUUUUAUAUGAGCAAUGAUCCCAAAUUGAAGUUAGAAUUGUGAAAGUUGGCAAAAUUCUGGGCUGUCUGAAAUUUGGUAGAGCGGACGGUCCGCAGGUAAGAGGCGGACGGUCCGCUGUUCAUUGGAUUUUUCCACCAGAGACUCUGCAGAGAUGAAAUCAGCCGUAGAAAUGUACUGUGGACUGUCCGCCAUUGGUCCGCGGACGGUCCGCCUGUGCGCAGAAAGGUGGGGUCGGCCAGAACUUGACAUAUAUGGUUGUGUCUCAUUCCCCUUCCACCAAACCCGACCACAUCCACUCAUUUUGCCAUCCCUCUCUCUCUCAAGCACGUGGGGGGAGCUCACAAGGUCAAGGUCAUUUAGCGUGAUUCCCGGACGGUCCGAGCGCAUCCCCGGACACUCCGCGUCAUUCUCCAUCAUAUCUUCUCGGUAUUUCAUUGAAUCCCUAACUCUUGUUCUUGGAUUUCAUCAUUGGAAAGAGUUAGGGUUAGGGCCUCUGAUCUAUUUUUGGGCCAUGGAUUCAUGAAAAUACUUGGGGGAUCUUGUUUCUAGUGAUGAGGAGAUGCUUUGGUUAAAUUUUGGUUGGUGGACUUGAAUCAAAACUCAAGUUAUGGAUGAAUCAAAGUUGGGGGCGAUUUUCAGUCACUAUGCAUGAACAGAUGGGUUGCGGACGGUCCGCUUGCUGACCGCGGAUGGUCCGCUCUGGGUUCAGUGAACUGUGGACUAUCCGUGUUCAGAGUGCGGAUGGUCUGCUAGUAUCAGAUUUUUUAGAAUAACUAAUGAAGUGAUAUGUUUCAUUGCGGAUUGAUUCUAAUGCCUGAAUAAUUGUUCUUAUGAUUAAUUAUUGAUCUCAGGCCACCUCAGAAGAUUCUCAAGGCCACUACCUCAAAGAUUAAAAAGGCAGUGUCUUCCAAAAGACAAAGAGAUGGUGAUGACUCCGAUGAUGAGGACUAUGCUCCUAACCCAAGUGACAUGGCUGCUGCAUCAUCUGUUGGGGGUGUUGGAGAUGAAUCUUCCGAAGAAGAUGUUGAGGGUGAAGAAGAUGAUGUCACUGAUCUCAUGGGGCUUGAUCUUCCUAGCAGGCAAUGGACCAUUGAGUCAUACUCUAAUGCAAGAUCAGUGAACCAGCUCAACGUACCAUGUGACACCAACAUCCUCUACUUCAGAACUGAGGUACAGAUUGAUGCAUUAUUUGGUCAUAUGGUUAAGAAGACAGUUUUCAAACAUCAGACCAUAGACUUAGCUUAUAUGAGAUCACAGCCAGUCAUGACAGAACUUGUUGAUAGAUUUGAAACCAUGGGUUUAGCUAACUUUCUUCAGCAUAGAUGUGACUAGAAUGAAACAGUGAUCCGUCGGUUUUAUGCCACCUUAGAGAUUAGCAUAGAAGAAGAAAAAAUUUGGUGGACAACUGAAAAGAGAACAUACUAUGCCACUUUUGCUCAAUUUGCUGCUGCAAAUCAAUUGGAUUAUGAGUUUCUUAAGGAUGAGCAAAGUGCCAAUAUUGUGCUAGAAAACCCACUUGAUGAAAAUGACUAUCCCAUGUUCUAUGAGCCUGCACAUUUGGGGAUUGCUAGAGUCUUUGGAGGUACUCACGGUCUUAGGCAUCAUCCUGCUGUGAUUAACAAGAUUGCUAGAGUUACCUUCAUGCCAAAGAGUGGGAACAAGGAUAAAGUCAGAGGGUGGUAUUGGAAUGUAAUAUCUCAUGUUAUGCAUGGAAACAAAAUUAAUGUGAUAGCUCUCAUCAUGGAUCAGCUAGCAGAUCUGAGACUCAACCUUGAGAUGAACAUGUAUUUUGCCCCAUAUAUCAUGUCUAUCAUCAAGGCCAAGACCAACUUCAGAGGGGUUUGUGAGUGCAAGCACUCCUUUUAGGCCUUUCAAGAAUGAUACAUCAUUUCUUCUAAGGCCCUUGACUCCUUUCCCCGGUGAUGAUAUAGAGGAGGAGGACCAUGAUGAGGAUGAUGAUGAGGGUGAUGAGGGUGGUCACAUGGGAGGAGAGGCAGAACAGCAUGCUAUGCCACCUCCACAGCCUCCAGUAUAGCCACAGUGGGCACCUCCAGCUGGGUACUUUGACCCAUACUUUGCAUCGAUGCAGCAGGGUAUGACUUCUCAUAUGGAUGGCCUUGUGACCCAGAUGCAGACUCAGAUGAACUUAGGUUUCCAGAACAUGCAGCAGCAGAUGACUCAGCACUUCAAUGAAGCCAUGUUCCAGCCUAUGAUGGCCCAGAUGAGAGGAGUUCAAGAGGAUCUCCACUCAGACAUAGCAGCUUUGGACUCCCGCUUUGAGGAUAUGCCUUCUUCUGAGCAGUUCCAGCAGCUUGAGCAGCGACAGCAGCAGUUAGAGCAGCAUUUUGACACGUUUCACACUGCUUUCACGGGCUUCUCAGACCACUUCUACUCGGUCUUCCCGGCUCCAGUGCCGCCUCCAGAGUUCUAUCCACACCAACCCUUCUAUCUGCCGCCACCGCCUCCGCCUCCGAUGGAUUGAGCUUCUUGGUCAUUGAUGCCAAAGGGGGAGAAGGACAGCUUGGAGUGAUGCAUGCCUGGAUCUAUGGGGAGCUCAUGGACUUCGCAUGGGCAUUAUUCGCUUUGCUUCCUCUUGCUACUCAUGAGUUAUAUAUGCCGAACUUUGUUGCAUUGCAUGUUUAUGCUUUAUGUCUUGCAUGGACUCGUUUUGUUAUUUGAACUUGAUUUGUGGAUCUAGUUUGUAAUUCAUGAAGAACUACGUUGUCUUGUGAUACUCUUAUCGAUUAUGUUCACCUUUGUGGCUUGAUGAGAUUGUGCUAACCGUUAUAAGCUUAUAUCAUAUAUAUCUUGUAUGUUGUAUGCCUCGAUUUCCAUUUGUAGGAGAAACUUUGUCAAAAUUCACGAUUCAUAUAUAUGUGCUCUUGGAUUUCA